GAACUUGGCCAGAGAGUCCCAGCACAGCCCUGGUAUGGUGUGCCAGUGCCUGGCCUUGGAUUUUUUCCUCUCUCUUUCCCCCCCUGCUCCGUCUGCUCUGCUCACAGCAGCACCUCAGUCCAGUCCCACCACUGCACCCUCGGCCUGGCACGGGGCUGGGGUGGCUCUGCCCCAUCCCACAGAGAUGGGUGGCUUUUCCUAGAAGCAAGAGGUCGAAGUCCCUCUGCCUCACAGGACACGUGGCAUCAAAGUGGCAGCCAAGGCGCCUUCCUGAGCUCUGGGGCUAUUCCUGCUCCUUGCACUGGCAACACUGAGCCUAAACCUGCCCUGUCCCCUCCCAAAGGGGCUGCAGUGCCCCUCAAAACACUCCUGCCCUCCUUCCCACUGCCUUCACUCCUCUGCCAACCUGAGAAACCCAUCCAGACCUGGCCACCUCAAGCUCUCUGUCCCCCUGCCAGCCUCCUGCCACCCUGCUCCCUGCCACCUCUGUCCCUCUGUGACCCUCCUGAACCCUGGGGUUGCUUUCCUCAGACUCUGCCCUUGCAGUUGCAGCUUCAGGACUGGGCACUCUGCCUUGGCUUACUUUGGGCUGCAGCCACAAAAAUACCAGACCCAGCCCCUUAUCCUGGCACCCUCCUGUCCUCUGUCCCCUCUCUGUCUUCUCUGUCCCAAACUCUGCUCACUGACAGCUUGGCUCUGCAUUGCUCAAUGUGUUUUUCCCUGCACAAGUCACCUCCCCGGCCACUUCCCACAGGAUGCAGGAGAGCGGACGGAGCAGUUUGGAACAGUCAUUGCAGAAAACAGGCAAAAAAAAAAGGUGAAGGAAAAAAAAAAAUUAAAAAAUAUCCUGAAACAAGGAAAAUGUACAUAUACAAAAUGAAUCAAGCAAAUCUGCCCUCACUGCUCUCGACUCAUAACUCCUCAGCAAGCGACCACAGUGGGGACACUGAGCCUGGGCCACCCCCAAGUGCAAUUCCGGAAAGCACACACAGAGCUCAGGGGAUCCCCCACAAAACCCAGCCAGAGAUGGAGACAUCCCAAACCUUUCCUCAAACAAGACACUUCCCGUGCAGGGUGGGAGGGGAGCACCUGGGCGCUGCAAAGGGCAAUCAGCCUGAUUACAAGCAUGGUGUCUUUUUAAAAAGUAUUAAAAAGCACUUUCAUUAA
rnacentral:lncRNA from 1 species